rnacentral:rRNA from 1 species
CACGUAGGGCGCGAGCGUUGUCCGGAAUUAUUGGGCGUAAAGAGCUCGUAGGCGGCCUGUUGCGUCCGCUGUGAAAGCCCGGGGCUUAACCCCGGGUCUGCAGUGGAUACGGGCAGGCUAGAGGUAGGUAGGGGAGAAUGGAAUUCCCGGUGUAGCGGUGAAAUGCGCAGAUAUCGGGAGGAACACCGGUGGCGAAGGCGGUUCUCUGGGCCUGUACUGACGCUGAGGAGCGAAAGCGUGGGGAGCGAACAGG